rnacentral:lncRNA from 1 species
UUAAAUUGUAACAAUGCGCAAAUCUCAGGGAAAAUGUAAAAAAUAAAUAAAACAUGAUUGAGGCUUAAUUAAAGAUCGGUGCAGGAGAGGAGGGACUACAUGCGCAAUUAGCCCUCAAAGACCAAAACAUGCGGAUCUCGAUGGGCACCGGGUCGGGUCGCACGGGUAAGGCCUAUACGGCACCGUUUUGGAGCCACUGAAACAGGCCCUAAACGGUGCCGUUUCAUGCUCUUCAUAAAACAAAAAUAAAAAUAAAAAACCCUAAACUAACAUUUGGCUAUUUGAAAAAGAAUCAAAAUAAAACCUAAAGCCUCCCUUCCACUCUCAUUCAGCCGAACCAAAAAGCUCUACCACUUCACCUCCAUACUCAACGGACGGCAACGUAUGAAGGUUUAUCCUGGCCUUAUUCGACCGCAAAUCUGAGGGUUUUGUUAUGCUUAACCUCAAUCCUCAUCUAGCUUCGAUUACCACGACGUAAACAAGGAUUCGAAGCCUCCUAAGAAAGAUAAGUAUUAACGCUUUCAUUUAUUUUGUUUUUUACAUACAAUGACGAAGAUCAAAGAAAAAUAGAAGCAAAAACGAAAGACAAAAAAUGAGAUUUAAAAUCACCUUUGGAAAACUCUUUUUCCUAUUCAAACUUUUGGUAUAGAUUUUGUAUCGUCUCUCCCAAAAAUCCCCCUUUACAUUCAAUUUCAUUUCGUUUUAUAGCUGAAAAAUAAGAAUAAAAUAAAUAAGAAAAUCAAAUUUCCUUGCUGUAAUUUCUGUUAUUUGCUGUCCAUUGCUCUUUUGUUUGUUAGUCUGCUGUAGGUGUGUAUGGCGUGGAGAAGCCAUUCGUGGGCAUGUCGACGUGGAGAAUGAAGCAACGGCGCGCGUGAAAGCUGGCACGAAGGUAGCAGCGGCACAAGGGGGAAAGGUAACCCUAUAGUUCUAAAAAUAUUAAACUUUCGGGCCUGGGCUAGUUUUUGUCAUUGGGCCGUUGCAAUUUGAUUUGUAUUUUGAGGCUUUUUAUUUUGGAUUUUGGGCUUGGGAUAUUAUUAUGGACAUUGGACUUUAAUUUUGGUUUUUUUUUUGUUUUGGUUUAUUUUGUUUUUUGGUUUUUGUAUGGCCCGGGCUAAAAUUGGGCCUUACAAUGUAAAGACUUAUUUAUUGAAUGCUUAAAAGAAAAUUAUUCUACACGUCUCAAAAUCUUUGUAUUUUACUAACUUCAUUUUUUUUUAUUUUUGUGAAAAAUAAAAUAAAAUAAAAUAAAGAACACACAAAUUUUACGUGGAAACCCUUUCGGGAAAAAACUACGGGCAGAGAAGAAGAAAAUUCACUAUGUUGAAAAAUUUGAAUCAAAUACAAGAGGAAUAGACUAUGUCUAUUUAUAGGUUUGCAAAGCCAUAUUCUAGUAGGAUUGAAACACCUUAUCCUAAU